rnacentral:snoRNA from 1 species
GACUUCAAGAUGAUGAGUUGGUAUCCUUCAUUAUAGCUGGAUUGGAUAUUGAUUACAAUCCAUUGGUGUCCUCCAUUAUGGCCCACACAGACCAAGUCACGGUUAGUGAUCUAUAAUCUCAAGUCCUUUGCUAUGACA